GAUGAACGCUGGCGGCGUGCUUAACACAUGCAAGUCGAACGAUGAAGCCCAGCUUGCUGGGUGGAUUAGUGGCGAACGGGUGAGUAACACGUGAGUAACCUGCCCUUAACUCUGGGAUAAGCCUGGGAAACUGGGUCUAAUACCGGAUAGGAGCGUCCACCGCAUGGUGUGUGUUGGAGAGAUUUAUCGGUUUUGGAUGGACUCGCGGCCUAUCAGCUUGUUGGUGAGGUAAUGGCUCACCAAGGCGACGACGGGUAGCCGGCCUGAGAGGGUGACCGGCCACACUGGGACUGAGACACGGCCCAGACUCCUACGGGAGGCAGCAGUGGGGAAUAUUGCACAAUGGGCGCAAGCCUGAUGCAGCGACGCCGCGUGAGGGAUGACGGCCUUCGGGUUGUAAACCUCUUUCAGUAGGGAAGAAGCGAAAGUGACGGUACCUGCAGAAGAAGCACCGGCUAACUACGUG
rnacentral:rRNA from 1 species